UGUAUUUCCAGCAGUGGAUCUCUUGGCUCAAGUGCUGAGGAAGGGCGCAGCAAAGUGUGAUAAGCAUUGUGAUGUGCGAGAUCCUGUGAACCGAUAGACCCCCGAUCGCACUCCGUACUUUCAGGAACCCCUGAAAGUAAUCCAGCUCCAGGGUCAUG
rnacentral:rRNA from 1 species